ensembl:lncRNA
GUCCAGUUAACAGAUCUGUGUUGGGGAACCACUGCUCACAGGUGGCAGAAAGGGAAGAUGGGUUACACUAAAGACAGGGAGACCAGUGAGGAGGUGAGAAAUGAGGAAAAGCUCCCAUCAUCUUCUACCGGGACUCCUGCAACAGUUCUUCCUCUAGCUUGUUGAAUCUACUCAAUAGUCUUCUAAUUUCCCCAGUGACAAGUGCCAGUGAGAUCUACCCAAAACAAAGUGUAGUCUCUGGAGUCAGACUGAAUGGGAUCAUUAACCCUGGGACUUUUGCUCAUGCAUGGUGUUUCCUAGCCUCAUUGUCUUCAUCUACAAAACUGAUAGCAGUCACUGCCUCUGAGGUUUCAGGUGAGGAUUAGGUGAAGGUGAAGGGCUUUCCUUGGCACCUCCAAAUAACAACUGCUAAGUAAAUCUAGGUUCCAUGACUGUGACCACUUGGCCUGUCCACCAGCCAACCAGUUUGGACAAUCUCACCAUAGUUAUUACAAAGUAGCACGUGUUUAUUCUGCAAUAGUCAUAUAUCAGUUUAUGUAAGCCAAGUGCAAAAGGAGGUUUAUGCCUUGUUUUUUUUUCCCAUAAUUUUUGAG